GAGUAAAGAUUUCGGUCGCUUUGGGAGGAGCUCGCUUACUAUCAGCUUGUUGGUAGGGUAAUGGCCUACCAAGGCUAUGACGGUUAGGGGGUGUGAGAGCAUGACCCCCAGCAUUGGCACUGAAACACUGGCCAAACACCUACGGGUGGCUGCAGUCGAGAAUCUUCCACAAUGGGGGAAACCCUGAUGGAGCGAUGCUGCGUGCGGGAUGAAGGCCUUCGGGUCGUAAACCGCUUUUGUAGGGGACGAAAUUUUUGACGGUACCCUUUCGAAUAAGAGGUUGCUAACUCUGUGCCAGCAGCAGCGGUAAUACAGAGACCUCAAGCGUUAUCCGGAUUUACUGGGCGUAAAGCGUCUGUAGGGGGUUUAUUAAGUUCCAAGUAAAAUUUCAAGGCUCAACUUUGAAUUCGCUUGGAAAACUAAUAAACUGGAGUCUAGCAGAGGUGCAUGGAACUUGUGGUGUAGGAGUGAAAUCCGUUGAUAUCACAAGGAACACCAAAGGCGAAGGCAUUGCACUGGGCUAGCACUGACCCUGAGAGACGAAAGCGUGGGGAGCAAAACGGAUUAGAUACCCGUGUAGUCCACGCCCUAAACGAUGAAUGCUAAAUGUUCGGGGAUUCGACCCCCUGGGUGUUACAGCUAACGCGUUAAGCAUUCCGCCUGGGAAGUACGGCCGCAAGGCUAAAACUCAAAGGAAUAGACGGGGAUCCGCACAAGCGGUGGAGCGUCUGGUUUAAUUCGACAGUAAGCGUGGUACCUCACCAGGGUUUGACAUCCCUUGACAGCCUUGGAAACAAGGUUUCCUUCGGGCAAGGUGACAGGUGCUGCAUGGUCGUCGUCAGUUCGUGCCGUGAGGUGUUCCGUUAAGUCGGGAAACGAACGAAACCCCUAUUGCAUGUUACAAUUUCUCAUGCAAGACUGCCCGGAUAUACUGGGAGGAAGGUGGGGAUGACGUCAGAUCUGCAUGGUCCUUAUACCCUGGGCGACACAGGCGCUACAAUGGCAGAGACAAAGGGUUGCAAAACCGCAAGGUGAAGCUAAUCCCAAAAACUUUGUCUAAGUUCGGAUUGAAGGCUGCAAUUCGCCUUCAUGAAGCUGGAAUCGCUAGUAAUCGUGAAUCAGCCACGUCACGGUGAAUAUGUUCCCGGAUCUUGUACUCACCGCCCGUCACACCAAGAGAGUUGGUAGCUCCCGAAG
rnacentral:rRNA from 1 species